rnacentral:rRNA from 1 species
UGGGGAAUUUUGGACAAUGGGGGAAACCCUGAUCCAGCCAUUCCGCGUGAGUGAAGAAGGCCUUCGGGUUGUAAAGCUCUUUCGGCAGGAACGAAAAGGUCAAGGUAAAUAAUCUUGAUUCAUGACGGUACCUGAAGAAGAAGCACCGGCUAACUACGUGCCAGCAGCCGCGGUAAUACGUAGGGUGCGAGCGUUAAUCGGAAUUACUGGGCGUAAAGGGUGCGCAGGUGGUUAUUUAAGACAGAUGUGAAAUCCCCGGGCUCAACCUGGGAACUGCGUUUGUGACUGAAUAGCUAGAGUGCGGCAGAGGGGGGUAGAAUUCCACGUGUAGCAGUGAAAUGCGUAGAGAUGUGGAGGAAUACCGAUGGCGAAGGCAGCCCCCUGGGUCAGCACUGACGCUCAUGCACGAAAGCGUGGGGAGCAAACAGG